rnacentral:rRNA from 1 species
UACGUAGGGUGCGAGCGUUAAUCGGAAUUACUGGGCGUAAAGGGUGCGCAGGCGGCGUCGCAAGUCAGUCGUGAAAUCCCCGGGCUUAACCUGGGAACUGCACUUGAAACUACGAUGCUGGAGUAUGGCAGAGGGAGGUGGAAUUCCACGUGUAGCGGUGAAAUGCGUAGAGAUGUGGAGGAACACCGAUGGCGAAGGCAGCCUCCUGGGCCAAUACUGACGCUCAUGCACGAAAGCGUGGGGAGCAAACAGG